GAUGAACGCUGGCGGCGUGCCUAAUACAUGCAAGUCGAGCGAAUGGAUUAAGAGCUUGCUCUUAUGAAGUUAGCGGCGGACGGGUGAGUAACACGUGGGUAACCUGCCCAUAAGACUGGGAUAACUCCGGGAAACCGGGGCUAAUACCGGAUAACAUUUUGAACCGCAUGGUUCGAAAUUGAAAGGCGGCUUCGGCUGUCACUUAUGGAUGGAACCGCGUCGCAUUAGCUAGUUGGUGAGGUAACGGCGCACCAAGGCAACGAUGCGUAGCCGACCUGAGAGGGUGAUCGGCCACACUGGGACUGAGACACGGCCCAGACUCCUACGGGAGGCAGCAGUAGGGAAUCUUCCGCAAUGGACGAAAGUCUGACGGAGCAACGCCGCGUGAGUGAUGAAGGCUUUCGGGUCGUAAAGCUCUGUUGUUAGGGAAGAACAAGUGCUAGUUGAAUAAGCUGGCACCUUGACGGUACCUAACCAGAAAGCCACGGCUAACUACGUGCCAGCAGCCGCCGUAA
rnacentral:rRNA from 1 species